UCCCAGCCCGGCCGUUCCCCGGGCUCGGGGCGCAAAACGGAAGUGACGUACGCUGGAGCAUUCCGUUUUCUUUCUGCUGCAGGAACCGUGGCUGCUGAGCCUAGCUGGUGUGGUGGCUUUUGAGCACUGAUUCAGCGUCGUGUAGUGAAAGGACAUCUCCUGUCUUCCUCCAGCCUGCGUCCUGCUGCAGAACACACUUCCGGUGUCGGCCGGCGGGGGACGGGAUGCUGCUGCUGCUUCUGCUGCUACCCCUCUGUUGGGCGGUAGAGGUUAAGAGACCCCGGGGAGUUUCCCUCAGCAACCAUCACUUCUAUGAGGAAUCGAAGCCUUUCACGUGUUUGGACGGCACAGCCACCAUCCCGUUCGACCAGGUGAACGAUGAUUACUGCGACUGCAAGGAUGGCUCAGAUGAGCCCGGCACAGCCGCUUGUCCCAAUGGCAGCUUCCACUGCACCAACACUGGCUACAAGCCCUUGUACAUCCCCUCCAGCCGGGUUAAUGAUGGCAUAUGUGAUUGCUGUGACGGGACAGAUGAGUACAACAGUGGCACCGGCUGUGAGAACACCUGCAGAGAGAAGGGUCGUAAGGAAAAAGAGUCCUUGCAGCAGCUUGCCGAGGUCACCCGAGAAGGGUUCCGCCUCAAGAAGAUGCUCAUUGAAGAGUGGAAGACGGCUCGGGAAGAGAAGCAGAGUAAGCUGCUUGAGCUUCAGGCUGGAAAGAAGUCUCUGGAAGACCAGGUGGAGGCGCUGCGGACAGUGAAGGAAGAAGCGGAGAAGCCAGAGAAGGAGGCCAAAGAGCAGCACCGGAAGCUGUGGGAAGAGCAGCAAGCUGCUGCCAAGGCCCGGCGGGAACAGGAGCUGGCGGCCAGCGCCUUCCAGGAACUGGAUGACAACAGGGAUGGGGUCGUCUCCCUGGCCGAGUUGCAGACUCACCCAGAGUUGGACACGGAUGCAGACGGAGCGCUGUCUGAGGAGGAGGCCCAGGCCCUUCUCAGUGGAGACACACAGACUGACAGUGCCUCCUUCUAUGACCGUGUCUGGGCCGCCAUCAGGGACAAGUACCGCUCUGAGGUGCCGCCCACUGACGAGCCUGCCCCCUCCACUCCGGAUGUGAUUGAGCCCAAAGAGGAGCAGCCACCAGAUUUGCCGCCCACAGAGGAGGAGGAGGAAGAGGAGCCAGAGGAGGAGGAGGAGGAAGAGGAGGAGGAAGAGGUGCAGGGGGAGCAACCCAAGGAGGCCCCAACCCCUCUGCAGCCCCCACAGCCUGCCAGCCCCACCGAGGAGGAGAAGAUGCCACCGUAUGAUGAGGAGACACAGGCUGUCAUCGACGCUGCACAGGAGGCCCGGAGCAAGUUUGAGGAAGCCGAACGGUCCUUGAAAGAGAUGGAGGAAUCCAUCAGGAGUUUGGAACAAGAGAUCUCCUUUGACUUCGGUCCCUCCGGGGAGUUUGCAUACCUCUACAGCCAGUGCUACGAGCUCGCCACCAAUGAGUACAUCUACCGGCUUUGCCCCUUCAAACUGGUCUCCCAGAAGCCCAAGCAUGGGGGCUCCCCAACCAGCCUGGGCACAUGGGGCUCCUGGGCUGGCCCUGAUCAUGACAAGUUCAGCGCCAUGAAGUACGAGCAGGGCACUGGCUGUUGGCAGGGCCCCAACCGCUCCACCACAGUGCGCCUGCUCUGUGGCAAAGAGACAGUGGUGACCAGUACCACAGAGCCCAGUCGCUGCGAGUACCUCAUGGAGCUGAUGACACCAGCAGCCUGCCCAGAGCCACCGCCAGAAGUGCCCACUGAUGGAGACCAUGAUGAGCUCUAGCCUGACCAGGCUGGUCUGGAACUCAGAGAUCCGCCUGCCUCUGCCUCCCAGAGUGCUGGGAUCACAGAACCUCGAGGCCUGAAGCCCGUCUACUCGCCAUGUAGCCUACGAUGACCAAGGCCCGCUCGCCUGCCCUGGGGUUCCUGGCUGUUCUCCAGGUAGCCGGAACCACUCCUGGCCCAGGCUAGCCAAGCCAUGCUCCUGAGGCCCCAGCGACCUCCAGAGAUAGACAAUGAGCCCACCUUUCGUGGAUUCUUGGGGGGGGGGUAAUCCCUGCGCCCUGCCUCCCCAGCUGCUGGGAGAUGAAUGGAUGACUUGACAUGUGACCUCAAAACAAUAAAUGUGACUCCCCACA